UACGUAGGGGGCAAGCGUUGUCCGGAUUUAUUGGGCGUAAAGAGCGUGUAGGCGGCUUUACAGGUCCGUUGUGAAAACUCGAGGCUCAACCUCGAGACGCCGGUGGAAACCGUAAAGCUAGAGUCCGGAAGAGGAGAGUGGAAUUCCUGGUGUAGCGGUGAAAUGCGCAGAUAUCAGGAGGAACACCCGUGGCGAAAGCGGCUCUCUGGGACGGUACUGACGCUGAGACGCGAAAGCGUGGGGAGCAAACGGG
rnacentral:rRNA from 1 species